rnacentral:rRNA from 1 species
UACGAAGGGGGCUAGCGUUGUUCGGAUUUACUGGGCGUAAAGCGCGCGCAGGCGGUCCUUCAAGUCAGGGGUGAAAGCCCAGAGCUCAACUCUGGAACUGCCUUUGAGACUGUAGGACUUGGGUAUGGGAGAGGUGAGUGGAAUUCCGAGUGUAGAGGUGAAAUUCGUAGAUAUUCGGAAGAACGCCAGUGGCGAAGGCGGCUCACUGGCCCAUUACCGACGCUCAGGCGCGAUAGCGUGGGGAGCAAACAGG